rnacentral:rRNA from 1 species
ACGGAAUAGAUACCCCGGUAGUCCACGCCGUAAACGAUGAAUACUAGGUGUAGGGGUUGUCAUGACCUCUGUGCCGCCGCUAAACGCAUUAAGUAUUCCGCCUGGGGAGUACGGUCGCAAGAUUAAAACUCAAAGGAAUUGACGGGGGCCCGCACAAGCAGCGGAGCAUGUGGUUUAAAUUCGAAGCAACGCGAAGAACCUUACCUAGACUUGACAUCUCCUGAAUUACCCUUAAUCGGGGAAGCCCUUCGGGGCAGGAAGACAGGUGGUGCAUGGUUGUCGUCAGCUCGUGUCGUGAGAUGUUGGGUUAAGUCCCGCAACGAGCGCAACCCUUAUUGUUAGUUGCUACCAUUUAGUUGAGCACUCUAGCGAGACUGCCCGGGUUAACCGGGAGGAAGGUGGGGAUGACGUCAAAUCAUCAUGCCCCUUAUGUCUAGGGCUACACACGUGCUACAAUGGCUGGUACAGAGAGAUGCUAAACCGUGAGGUGGAGCCAAACUUUAAACCAGCCUCAGUUCGGAUUGUAGGCUGAAACUCGCCUAC